GACAGAGGGGGCAAGCGUUGCUCGGAAUCACUGGGCGUAAAGGGCGCGUAGGCGGGAUGGCAAGUGGGUCGUGAAAUCCUUCGGCCCAACCGAAGAACGUCGGCCGAUACUGCCGUUCUUGAGGGAUGCAGAGGAGACUGGAAUUCCCGGUGUAGCGGUGAAAUGUGUAGAGAUCGGGAGGAACACCGGUGGCGAAGGCGGGUCUCUGGGCAUUUCCUGACGCUGAGGCGCGAAAGCGUGGGGAGCAAACGGG
rnacentral:rRNA from 1 species